rnacentral:lncRNA from 1 species
CGUGGCAUCCGUCCCAAAUCCCAGCUCUUCCGUGAUCUUCUCUUCCGCGCUCCACCCAGCAGUCAGCAUCCAAGCUCCCGCUUCCAAUCCAGCGCCCAAAGAAGGAAACCAUCUCAUCUUCUUCCGCGUCUGCCAUCUUCCUUCCCCAUUUGAGCAUUCCGGCCAUGGCAUCCUCUCCAAAUCCUCCGUGAUCCACGGCUCCUCCCAGCAAAGAUCCCAGAUUACUUCCCUCUUUCGUGGUCCCAGCAGCACCCGAAGAAGGAAGCCCGCGUCCCCACCUUCCGCUUCAGCUCCCAGCAUCGCGCCCGAGCCGGAUUCGAAAUCCCUCUUCCGUGAUCCGGCGAUCCCGCACCGCGUCCGCGCCCCCCUUCCGUGAUUCCAUUUCAAGUGACUCCGCGGCUAUAAGAGGAGAAGGAGGAAAAGGAGGAGGGGGGAGCUCGGUGCUGGGUUGAGGCAAAGAAACAGGGUGUGCUCGGUGGAAUCCAAGGAGGAGGAGGUGAGCUCGGUUGAGAAGAAAAACAGAGCAUUGCUCUGUUCUUUGGAAGAAGAGAGGAAUAAAAAAAAAAAGAGAGAUAUAGUAUUUUAUGUUGAACUUCCACCGUGGGAGAGAAAGGGAGAUGUUUUCUUUUCUUUAUUUUUGUUAUUUCUUUCCUUUAUUUUAAUUGCAGAAGAAAGGUAGCAUCAAGCUACCGGUAUUCAUUUCUACCAUUGUAAUCAAUUUAGUUUUCUAAAUCUAUCAUUUCUUUUUUUU